rnacentral:rRNA from 1 species
GGGGAUAGCCCGAAGAAAUUCGGAUUAAUACCCCAUAGUACAAUUUGAUAGCAUUUGAAGAUUGUUAAAACUCCGGUGGUAAUAGAUGGGCAUGCGUAAGAUUAGAUAGUUGGUGAGGUAACGGCUCACCAAGUCGACGAUCUUUAGGGGGUCUGAGAGGAUGAUCCCCCACACUGGAACUGAGACACGGUCCAGACUCCUACGGGAGGCAGCAGUAGGGAAUAUUGGUCAAUGGAGGAAACUCUGAACCAGCCAUGCCGCGUGCAGGAAGAAGGCCUUCUGGGUUGUAAACUGCUUUUAUAUGGGAAGAAACGCUCCUUGCGAGGAGAACUGACUGUACCAUACGAAUAAGCACCGGCUAACUCCGUGCCAGCAGCCGCGGUAAUACGGAGGGUGCAAGCGUUGUCCGGAAUUAUUGGGUUUAAAGGGUGCGUAGGCGGUCUUUUAAGUCAGAGGUGAAAUCCUGCAGCUUAACUGUAGAAUUGCCUUUGAUACUGGAAGACUUGAGUACUGUUAAGGUAGGCGGAAUUUAUGGUGUAGCGGUGAAAUGCAUAGAUACCAUAAAGAACACCGAUUGCGAAGGCAGCUUACUGGACAGUAACUGACGCUGAGGCACGAAAGCGUGGGGAGCGAACAGGAUUAGAUACCCUGGUAGUCCACGCCGUAAACGAUGAUCACUCGAUGUUGGCGAUAUACUGUCAGCGUCCA